GUGGGGAAUCUUAGACAAUGGGCGCAAGCCUGAUCUAGCCAUGCCGCGUGGACGAUGAAGGCCUUAGGGUUGUAAAGUCCUUUCGCUGGGGAAGAUAAUGACUGUACCCAGUAAAGAAGCCCCGGCUAACUCCGUGCCAGCAGCCGCGGUAAUACGGAGGGGGCUAGCGUUGUUCGGAAUUACUGGGCGUAAAGCGCGCGUAGGCGGAUUGGAAAGUUGGGGGUGAAAUCCCGGGGCUCAACCUCGGAACUGCCUUCAAAACUCCCAGUCUAGAGUUCGAGAGAGGUGAGUGGAAUUCCGAGUGUAGAGGUGAAAUUCGUAGAUAUUCGGAGGAACACCAGUGGCGAAGGCGGCUCACUGGCUCGAUACUGACGCUGAGGUGCGAAAGCGUGGGGAGCAAACAGGAUUAGAUACCCGAGUAGUCC
rnacentral:rRNA from 1 species